CCUACGGGAGGCAGCAGUGAGGAAUAUUGGUCAAUGGACGAGAGUCUGAACCAGCCAAGUAGCGUGAAGGAUGACUGCCCUAUGGGUUGUAAACUUCUUUUAUAUGGGAAUAAAAUGUUCCACGUGUGGGAUUUUGUAUGUACCAUAUGAAUAAGGAUCGGCUAACUCCGUGCCAGCAGCCGCGGUAAUACGGAGGAUCCGAGCGUUAUCCGGAUUUAUUGGGUUUAAGGGGAGCGUAGGUGGAUUGUUAAGUCAGUUGUGAAAGUUUGCGGCUCAACCGUAAAAUUGCAGUUGAAACUGGCAGUCUUGAGUACAGUAGAGGUGGGCGGAAUUCGUGGUGUAGCGGUGAAAUGCUUAGAUAUCACGAAGAACUCCGAUUGCGAAGGCAGUUCACUGGACUGCAACUGACACUGAGGAUCGAAAGUGUGGGUAUCAAACAGGAUUAGAUACCCUUGUAGUC
rnacentral:rRNA from 1 species